GAUGAAGAAGAUGAUUGUGAAGAGGAUGAAAAUGUGGAUGACGCAGAUGAUGAGGAAGAAGAAGAUGUAAGGAAUGAGAGUCCAACGGAUAGGUCUCCAGCGAUUCAGGAAAUUUCGCCCCCUGAGACUAAGAAACAAAAGACCGGAGAUAGUGCAAAGAUUCAGGAAGAAGAAGAAGAAGAAGAAGA